GACAGGGUCUCCCUCUGUUGUCCAAGGCUGGAGGGUAGUAGUGCUAUCGCAGCUGACUGCAGCCUCAACCUUCCAGGCUGAAGCGAUCCUCCCAUCUCAACCUCCCACGUGGCUGAGACUACAGGUGCUUGCCACUAUGCCCAACUAAUAUUUGGAAUUUUCGUAUACGUGGAUUCCAGAGGGGUGACAGCGAAACGUGGGACCAUCCAGUUUCAGGAAAACGAGCUUAACACGCCCACUGAUUCUACAUUAUGCUCCUACCUCCCGGCAACCUCGCCAGGCCCAGAACUCUCUCCAGUCAGCCUCUACAGACCAAGCUCAUGAGUCACAAUGGCCUAUUUAGGCCCGUACCCUACCUCACGGCAGUCUCCGCAGAUGAGCCUACUGCCUCACAACAGCCUCCACAGGCACAGCUCCAUCGUUACAAUGGCCUCUUUAGACCCAGCUCCUGCCUCCCAGCCUUCUCUCCAGGCCCUGAACUUUCUCCGUGGGACCAUCCAGUUUCAGGAAAACAAGCUUAACACGCCCACUGAUUCUACAUUAUGCUCCUACCUCCCGGCAACCUCGCCAGGCCCAGAACUCUCUCCAGUCAGCCUCUACAGACCAAGCUCAUGAGUCACAAUGGCCUAUUUAGGCCCGUACCCUACCUCACGGCAGUCUCCGCAGAUGAGCCUACUGCCUCACAACAGCCUCCACAGGCACAGCUCCAUCGUUACAAUGGCCUCUUUAGACCCAGCUCCUGCCUCCCAGCCUUCUCUCCAGGCCCUGAACUUUCUCCACAUGGGGUCUCACUUUGUUGGCCAGGCUGGUGUCAAACUAAUGGCCUCAAGUGACCCUUCCACCCCUGCCUCCCAUCCUAGAGGUAUGUGCCACCACAAGGAGCACUUGUUCAAUUUUCUAAAGAAAAAAUUUCUAAAGUAAGGCUGUGGGAUGAUGGCAGGAAGAUAAAAGAAAAACAGAAGAAUAAGUUAAAAUGACUUAUUCACACAUAUUCUUUUGACAGCAAGAAGAACUUUUAGUAUAUACAUUCCUUACAAACAAAUGGCAGAUAAACAAUG